UGGGGAAUUUUGGACAAUGGGCGCAAGCCUGAUCCAGCCAUGCCGCGUGCGGGAGGAAGGCCUUCGGGUUGUAAACCGCUUUUGUCAGGGAAGAAAUCUUCUGAGUUAAUACCUCGGGAGGAUGACGGUACCUGAAGAAUAAGCACCGGCUAACUACGUGCCAGCAGCCGCGGUAAUACGUAGGGUGCAAGCGUUAAUCGGAAUACUGGGCGUAAAGCGUGCGCAGGCGGUUUUGUAAGACAGAGGUGAAAUCCCCGGGCUCAACCUGGGAACUGCCUUUGUGACUGCAAGGCUUGAGUGCGGCAGAGGGGGAUGGAAUUCCGCGUGUAGCAGUGAAAUGCGUAGAUAUGCGGAGGAACACCGUGGCGAAGGCAAUCCCCUGGGCCUGCACUGACGCUCAUGCACGAAAGCGUGGGGAGCAAACAGGAUUAGAUAGCCCUGGUAGUCCACGCCCUAAACGAUGUCAACUGGUUGUUGGGAAGGUUCCUUCUCAGUAACGUAGCUAACGCNUGAAGUUGACCGCCUGGGGAGUACGGCCGCAAGGUUG
rnacentral:rRNA from 1 species